GCUAAUUUGGUGUAGUAGUACGCACAUUGGCCUUUCAUGCCAAAAGAACAUGAGCUUGUACUUAGCU
rnacentral:tRNA from 1 species